rnacentral:rRNA from 1 species
UACGGAGGGGGCUAGCGUUGUUCGGAAUUAUUGGGCGUAAAGGGCGCGUAAGCGGCCGGAUAAGUCUGACGUGAAAUCCCUCGGCCCAACCGGGGAACUGCGUUUGAAACUGUCUGGCUCGAGCCCGGGAGAGGGUAGCGGAAUUCCCAGUGUAGCGGUGAAAUGCGUAGAUAUUGGGAGGAACACCGGUGGCGAAGGCGGCUACCUGGACCGGAACUGACGCUGAGGCGCGAAAGCUAGGGUAGCAAACAGG